rnacentral:rRNA from 1 species
UGGGGAAUAUUGGACAAUGGGCGAAAGCCUGAUCCAGCCAUGCCGCGUGUGUGAAGAAGGUCUUCGGACUGUAAAGCACUUUAAGUUGGGAGGAAGGGCAGUAAGCGAAUACCUUGCUGUUUUGACGUUACCGACAGAAUAAGCACCGGCUAACUCUGUGCCAGCAGCCGCGGUAAUACAGAGGGUGCAAGCGUUAAUCGGAAUUACUGGGCGUAAAGCGCGCGUAGGUGGUUCGUUAAGUUGAAUGUGAAAGCCCCGGGCUCAACCUGGGAACUGCAUCCAAAACUGGCGAGCUAGAGUAGGGCAGAGGGUGGUGGAAUUUCCUGUGUAGCGGUGAAAUGCGUAGAUAUAGGAAGGAACACCAGUGGCGAAGGCGACCACCUGGGCUCAUACUGACACUGAGGUGCGAAAGCGUGGGGAGCAAACAGG